rnacentral:rRNA from 1 species
AAUCAACGCUGGCGGCGUGCCUAACACAUGCAAGUCGAACGCGGCUAUCCCGCAAGGGAUAGCUGAGUGGCGAACGGGUGAGUAACACGUGGGUGACCUACCUUCGAAUGGGGGAUAACGUCCCGAAAGGGACGCUAAUACCGCAUAACAUCCCGCCUUUGAACAGGCGGACAUCAAAGCUGGGGAUCGCAAGACCUGGCGUUUGAAGAGGGGCCCGCGUCUGAUUAGCUAGUUGGUGGGGUAACGGCUCACCAAGGCGACGAUCAGUAUCCGGCCUGAGAGGGCGGACGGACACACUGGGACUGAGACACGGCCCAG